rnacentral:tRNA from 1 species
GUAGUAUAAAUGCCAUUGCAUCGGCAUGUAGCGCAGCUUGGUAGCGCACCGUCAUGGGGUGUCGGGGGUCGAAG